UACGGAGGGUGCAAGCGUUAUCCGGAUUUACUGGGUUUAAAGGGUGUGUAGGCGGACUUUUAAGUCAGCGGUGAAAUCUCCGGGCUCAACCCGGAAACUGCCAUUGAUACUAUGAGUCUUGAAUGUUGUUGAGGUGGGCGGAACGGGUCAUGUAGCGGUGAAAUGCAUAGAUAUGAUCCAGAACACCAAUUGCGUAGGCAGGCUGCUAGGACUGAGUUGACGCUGAGGCACGAGAGCAUGGGGAGCAAACAGG
rnacentral:rRNA from 1 species